AUGUAGACUUCUCUUGAUACUUUUUUUAACCAUCCAGCAUACAGGCAUUAAUGAACACAAGCAAAAACAAUACUGAAAGGAAAUACAAGUCAUUUUCUGAAGAAAUUUCAGAGACGACUUAAAAAGUUGUCAUCUCUACCUCUUCUCUUCUUCUCUCUUCACAGUGUGUGUGGAACAGGCCACAACCUGAAUCACUGGGCUGCUCUCAUGUGUAGAUGGCACAACAGCACUCUCAAGUGGCUCAUACUGCACAACAGGUCAUGCUGUGGUUCCAUUCAGCUAAUCUAAGAAUAAAUCUGUUCAAUUUAUUAUGUUAAACUUUGACCUAUAGACAUUUUUAAUUCCCUGCUUCAAAAUUAAACUGUGGAAAAUCAUAAUUCAACAUUUUUUCUGUUUCCCAAAAGUCAGCUCCUGUGUGGAAUCACAAUAUCUGCACAUAUAAAUGUACCUCACAACUUUUCUGUUAUGUUUUCAUAACUUGCCCUCUGUGGCUGAUUUGAGAGGCGAUCAGGUUUCCUCCGCAGCUCUGUUUGCAGUUAAGAUCUCCUCACUUUUAUUUAUUGUUUUUUUAAACUGUACUUUGGUCACUGUUGGGGACUGACAAGAGUGGGGACAAAGUUCACAGGGCGCAUGUAAGGAGGAGGGGGUGAAGAGGAGGAAGGUUAAAAAAGAAAAAAGAAAAUUGACCUUUGAAAGCAAAACAGCAGGUGGAGAGCUAAAAACAGGCAGCUCAGGACACCUCGGCAGGAAAUUCAACACAGAGGAAAAUGGAAGUUUGAAUUCUGUGGAGCUGAAUUGGGACUACGGCUAAAAUGAGACCCAUCGCUGGCUGUCCAGCUGUCCUUUGAGCGUGGUAGUGCACAUAACAGCAGUGUUUGUUUGCGAAGCAGUAGCGAGGUAAGGCAUCAGACUAAUGGAGGGAGAGGAGACAGCCAGGGCAGCCAUGCCGAGGCCGAGCCGUCUGACCUCCCUUCAGGAGCAGAUGAUCUGGGCCCUGCUGGAAUCCGGACUGUCCCGGGACGUCCUGGUCCAAGCCCUGGGGGAACUGGAGCAGGACAGGGCGAGCGCUGGUGCUGAAAAGGGAGAGAGGGGGGACGGCGAGAGCUCAGAAGAGGGAGAAAUGGAUUUCCCACCGCCUAUAUUCCGAGAGCUGGAGAAACUUUCCCCAGAGGAUGCGGCCAAACUGAAGGUAGAAGUCGACCAGCUCCUGCAGGAGGACCCCUGGCAUGUUGCAAAAAUGGUGAAAAGCUACAUGCAGCAGCACAAUCUCCCUCAGAGAGAGGUGGUGGAGUCCACGGGACUCAACCAGUCCCACCUCUCACAGCACCUCAACAAGGGAACGCCCAUGAAGAACCAGAAGAGAGCGGCUCUGUACAGCUGGUACGUCAAGAAGCAGUGCGAGAUCAGCCAGCAAUUUACCAAUGCCAAACAUGGCAUUGCAUCGGUGGAUGAGCAAGAGGAUGUGAGGAAAGGCCGGAGGAACAGGUUCAAGUGGGGUCCGGCAUCGCUGCAGAUCCUUUUCCAUGCAUACGAACAACAGAAGAACCCCAGCAAGGAGGAGAGAGAGGGGUUGGUGGAGGAGUGUAACAGGGCAGAAUGUCUCCAGAGGGGAGUGUCCCCCUCUCAGCUUGCUGGAUUGGGCUCCAACCUGGUUACUGAAGUUCGGGUGUACAACUGGUUUGCAAACCGCCGAAAAGAGGAGGCCUUCCGUCACAAACUGGCCCUCGACACGCCUUUCACCAACCAAUCUGCCUCAUCCUCUAUCCUCAACCUUCCAAGCCCGGAGCAUGGUAACACCCUAACACCCUUCAGACAAGCACAAACAGGUGUGAAAUACAGCCAGCAAAUCCUGUGUGACACUAUGAGCUCAGCCAGAGGUAGCGGAGGAGAGAGAGUGGGACGUCUAGUGGUCAGCCCUGUCCAACUGGAGCCCAGCCACACACUCCUCGAGACCCAUAGCCACAAGCCUGUGUCCAGCAGUGGCCCACUGCCCCCAGUAAGCACUCUGACCUCCCUCCACAGUCUGUCUUCCUCCCCUGCUUCUUCCCAGAGCCUCAUCAUGGCCUCACUGCCCAGCGUCAUGAGCCUGGGGGAGUCCUCACUUCUCAUCGGUUUAGCCUCCACGCAGCCUCAGACCGUACCCAUCCUAAACAAUGUGGGGGGUGCGUUCACAACGCUUCAGCCAAUCUCAUUCCAGCAGCAGCUUCACGCCUCUUCACAUCUGCCAAUAUCACAACAGCUUCAGAGCCACAUGAGUGCCAGUCCGUUCAUGGCCACCAUGACGCAGCUGCCCUGUCACAUGUACAACAAGUCGGACUCACCACAGUACCACCCGUCCAGUCUGCUGUCACAAACCAUGGUCAUCACUGACAGCAGCAGCCUGGGGAAUCUGACCAGCCUUGCCACUGUCAGACCGAUUCUAACAGCAGAUCCUGAGGAACAGACAGACCCGACUUUACAGGAAGAGUCUCUGCACCUGCAGCCUCACACACCUGGGCCAGCAGCUUGGCUUCGUUAGCUGUCUGACAACCUCAUGAUGACAGCAACAAUCCAAGGAGUCACAACUUCUGGUCAAGAAAUAAUCUGAAACUUCAAAAAAGCAUGCACAUCCAAACUUGCUGCAUCUUCCCAGAGCUUGGAGCUGUAUCCUGCGUCUCAGACGACAGACAGACACCGGUCUCACCUCCUCUCACCUUCACCAGAUAUCAGCUCCUACAUCCCUACACAAAUGGUCUCUACAGCACAGUAAAGGGUGCUCGGAUAAUGCAGUGCCUCCUCAAUAUGAGAUGGACUGAUGGUGUUUUGUGAUGGACAGCUACCUCUGGUGUACGUCUCCAGAGAAACCUGGAGUCU